rnacentral:rRNA from 1 species
UACGGGGGGGCAAGCGUUGUUCGGAAUUACUGGGCGUAAAGGGUGCGUAGGCGGUUGUUUAAGUCUGUCGUGAAAUCCCCGGGCUCAACCUGGGAAUGGCGAUGGAUACUGGGCAGCUAGAGUGUGUCAGAGGAUGGUGGAAUUCCCGGUGUAGCGGUGAAAUGCGUAGAGAUCGGGAGGAACAUCAGUGGCGAAGGCGGCCAUCUGGGACAACACUGACGCUGAAGCACGAAGCGUGGGGAGCAAACAGG